rnacentral:lncRNA from 1 species
CGGGCAUGAGAACUGGAAUGCCUAUCACGGUCAAGGCUGCAAGGCUGAAAUGCUGCUGACCCCUGAAUCUAGGACUAUCAGCAUGUUAAAUAACACCUGCUUUAGUCUCAGGGUCCCAGGAACUGGGAACAGACAGAAAUCUCUGGGGAGGAAUCAAGAAGCCCACUGGGGAAGGCUGAAGUCUACCAAAGAGGAUUGGUGACAUCAGGCUUGACAAACAAAUGACAACAGGGGUCGGCAAACUGGAAGGUCCAACGUGGACGUACAGUUUACCCCACGCAGGCAUGGAGAGGGGCCUAAAGGACGUGUCUUCCAUCCCGAGCUCACUGGCUGGUAGGAUGUGAAAGAAACGAGAAGUGCACAGUUGAAUCCCACAGUUUCCCGAUGGAAACUGAGCUGGGGUAAAACACAAGGAGACCAGGGCCAUGGUGAAGGUCUUCGAACAACAUCAUUCUUGACCUGGAUGCGUGAGGACAAUUAUUUGGCUGUAAAAAGAUGUUUCAGGGACAGAGGUAGAGUCCCCUCGCCCGCUGACAAACAAAUCCAUCAGGUAGGUCCUAACCACCAAUGGUCUUCAACAGACACAAAGUGCAGUAAGAGAAACACUCGGUGGGGAGGUAACUGGAAGUCAUCAUCAGGAGAAUUAAGGGGAUGGAAGGGUGUUUGUGUUCAGCCAACUUAACGUGCUACUGAAAAUGCCUGGUUGGGAGGAUAGGUGUGAUUUGUAGAAAUGAAAGGGGAAUGAACAUACCCCUGCCCUUUUAGAGACCCAGCAAUCCCCUUGGCUCAAAAGCCAAUGGUGCUCUUGCUGUGACACACGGGGGCAGUCAGCAAGCCCCCGAAGCAAAGGGCGCAGACUGAGGAAGACGCAGCCCUGCUCAGGCAAGAUGGGGCACUUCGUGGAUAAGAGACAAAGGAACAGUCAUUUCUACCCCCUCCACCAGCCCUGGGGUCUGCCUCCUUACCAGUGAGGGGGCCAUCUGUGGAGGACGGCAGUAGCCCGCCAAGUGUGAACCCUUAUAUUUUCAAGGAAUAGUAGUCGAGGAUGAUGGUGAGUGUAGAGGACCAUGAGCUGGUAAUGGCACACGACGGGGCUGUGGCUGCGCCACACACCCAUGCAGUUCAGCAGCACGGUCCCCCUGUGGCCAGAGAGCACCUGCUGUGAGAAAGCAGACCGCAGCCUGCAGAUGGUUUGAUCCUUGCUCUGUUUCCCUGUGAUGCGAGCAACUCACUUCACCUGCUGAGGGCUUGGUUACUUUAGUAAAGUGAGGGGAAUGGGAAAUCUCUGAUUUCUUCACUGGCUCAUCAUGAGAAUAAAAGUAAUUUUUUAAAGAGCUUAUUUAUUUAU